rnacentral:rRNA from 1 species
UACGGAGGGGGCUAGCGUUGUUCGGAAUUACUGGGCGUAAAGCGCACGUAGGCGGAUAUUUAAGUCAGGGGUGAAAUCCCGGGGCUCAACCCCGGAACUGCCUUUGAUACUGGGUAUCUGGAGGUCGAGAGAGGCGAGUGGAAUUCCGAGUGUAGAGGUGAAAUUCGUAGAUAUUCGGAGGAACACCAGUGGCGAAGGCGGCUCGCUGGCUCGAUACUGACGCUGGAGGUGCGAAAGCGUGGGGAGCAAACAGG